rnacentral:misc_RNA from 1 species
GAUGAAGAACGUAGCGAAAUGCGAUAAGUAGUGUGAAUUGCAGAAUUCAGUGAAUCAUCGAAUCUUUGAACGCACAUUGCGCCCCUUGGUAUUCCAUGGGGCAUGCCUGUUCGAGCGUCAUUUGUACCUUCAAGCUUUGCUUGGUGUUGGGUGUUUGUCCUGAGGGACUCGCCUUAAAGUAAUUGGCAGCCAGUGUUUGGUUUUGAAGCGCAGCACAAGUCGCGAUUCAAAGCUAUACGCCCGCUUCCACAAGCCUUUUUCACUUUUGACCUCGGAUCAGGUAGGGAUACCCGCUGAACUUAAGCAUAUAAUAAGCGGAGGA